rnacentral:rRNA from 1 species
UACGUAGGGGGCAAGCGUUGUUCGGAAUUACUGGGCGUAAAGGGCGCGUAGGCGGCAUGGCAAGUCAGGAGUGAAAGGCCUGGGCUCAACCGAGGAACUGCUUUUGAUACUGCCAAGCUAGAGUGCGGAAGGGGCAACUGGAAUUCCCAGUGUAGCGGUGAAAUGCGUAGAUAUUGGGAAGAACACCUGAGGCGAAGGCGGGAUUGCUGGGCCGACACUGACGCUGAGGCGCGAAAGCCAGGGGAGCAAAGCGGGAUUAAGAUGACCCUUGAG